rnacentral:rRNA from 1 species
CUGUCGAGCUUGCUCACAGGCACAUCAUAUCCAUAACACCUGUGCACUUGUCGGAUGGCUUAGUGAAGACCGCAAGGUUGGAUCUAUCCAUCUACUUUACAUAACAAUUCUGUAACAAAUGUAGUCUUAUUAUAACAUAAUAAAACUUUCAACAACGGAUCUCUUGGCUCUCGCAUCGAUGAAGAACGCAGCGAAAUGCGAUAAGUAAUGUGAAUUGCAGAAUUCAGUGAAUCAUCGAAUCUUUGAACGCACCUUGCGCUCCUUGGUAUUCCGAGGAGCAUGCCUGUUUGAGUGUCAUGAAAACCCUCAACCCUAGAUUGGUUAAAACCUUUCUUUGGUUUGGAUUUGGACGUUUGCCGAUGAUAAGUCGGCUCGUCUUAAAAGUAAUAGCUGGAUCUGUCUCGCGACAUGGUUUGACUUGGCGUAAUAAGUAUUUCGCUAAGGACAUCUUCGGAUGGCCGCGUUGCAGGACUAAAGACCGCUUUCUAAUCCAUUGAUCUUCGGAUUAAUAUUCUUGACAUCUGGCCUCAAAUCAGGUAGGACUA